UUUUCUGUUGCAAUGGAAGUAAAAGUAUAGUUUCAACUGCAGUACCACAGCUGUAGUUACUGACUCCAAAAAGUUCCAUUUCCAUUCAUUUCCAUUUAGGAGACAUUUUUCAUAGUGCAGCCAUGAAUCUGAUAUCUUCACCAACCUCCUGACUGUCCGUAAGAACGAGAUGAUUUAAUAUUAUUAUAAAGUAAUUUUACAUUAGUGUUUAGAAUCUGCCAGCCUGUGUAACUGACGCUAACAAAUGUUGCCUGUAGGGUAUGGAAAAAGUCCUUCAGACCAAAGCAGACCUGAGGUCCCAGAUCCCUGAUGACAGCUGAGAGAUGAAAGAGGGGUCAGUGUGAAUGAAGUGAAGGAAGCAGGAGAGGAGACGGCGAGGGAAGAUCAGUGUUGGAGGAAUGGUGAAGGGUAAACAGGAGUGAUGGCAGGUCAGUGAGGGCAGACCCACUGUGUGUGUGUGUGUGAGUGUGUGUGUGAGUCUAAGUCUGUACGUACGACUUUAUGUGUGUGUGUCCCUGUCCCUGUGUCUUUGUACUGGCUAAUCUAGGCGUCAGCAGCUUUUUGAGGCUUUUGUGCUGACAAUAAUCACACGGCGCUCCUCUUUUCAAUUCAUCAGCAACAACAAGGGAUCACAUGUCCCCUUUACAGAACCCAGACAGGGGGAGUGAGGGAGGGAAAAAAGACAGAGAGAGGAAGGGAGGGCAAGAACGGAGGUAAAGUGGCCAUUAUGUUGCUUAGUGACCGCAUAGGUGGACGGUGAUUUGCUGUGUGGGCAGGCUAAUGCAAAUGGUCAACACCCCGUGCACCUGUGCUGAGUGUGGACAAAACAGAGAAAGUACAAUCCUUUAUUUUGUCAAAGAAUAAUUUAUUCCGUGAUGAUGAACAUUGAGUAAAUCAACGGUCCACGCUGCAGCAAGCAAUCAAUAUCAUCAUCAUCAUCAUCAUCUUCAUCAUAACAUUGAUAGGAAUAAUUAUUUCAAUUAUAAAUAAUAAAAGUGGUCAGAGUAAUAUUACAUCUAUACAGGCUACAAAUAUCAGCAUCUCAUUGGGUUUUUUUUUCUUUCUUUUUUUUUAAAUUUGCUGAUAAAACCUUAAACACUUCACACAUGACCCCAUCGGUCCGGCUGCCCCCCACCCCCCACUUUACCCCCCACCACCACCUUUCAUGGUUGUGUGCCCAGAGAGGGAGACCAAAAAUGUGAAUGUACUUAGAGUUUUGGUCAGGAAGUUGGAAGUGAUGAUCAACGUCAGUUAAAAGCUGUAAUUCUUCUUUAUUUAUGUAUGUUAUGCUAUGAUCCCGU